rnacentral:rRNA from 1 species
ACUCCUACGGGAGGCAGCAGUGAGGAAUCUUCCACAAUGGACGAAAGUCUGAUGGAGCGACACCGCGUGAAGGAUGAAGGCCUAACGGUUGUAAACUUCUUUUCUGAAGGAGCAUAAUGAGAGUACUUCAGGAAUAAGGGACGGCUAAAUACGUGCCAGCAGCCGCGGUAAUACGUAUGUCUCGAGCGUUACCGGAAUCACUGGUGUAAAGGGUUCGUAGGCGGUUUAAUAAGUUGGAUAUGAAAGACCGGAGCUCAACUUCGUGUUUGUGUUCAAAACUGUUAAACUAGAAUCAGGGAGAGGUAAGUAGAAUUCUAAGUGUAGGGUGCAAUCCGUAGAUAC